UGACUCAGAUCAGGCAAGAUUA
rnacentral:rRNA from 1 species